GAUGAACGCUGGCGGCGUGCCUAAUACAUGCAAGUCGAGCGAAUGGGUUAAGAGCUUGCUCUUAUGAAGUUAGCGGCGGACGGGUGAGUAACACGUGGGUAACCUGCCCAUAAGACUGGGAUAACUCCGGGAAACCGGGGCUAAUACCGGAUAACAUUUUGAACCGCAUGGUUCGAAAUUGAAAGGCGGCUUCGGCUGUCACUUAUGGAUGGACCCGCGUCGCAUUAGCUAGUUGGUGAGGUAACGGCUCACCAAGGCAACGAUGCGUAGCCGACCUGGGAGGGUGAUCGGCCACACUGGGACUGCGACACGGCCCAGACUCCUACGGGAGGCAGCAGUAGGGAAUCUUCCGCAAUGGACGAAAGUCUGACGGAGCAACGCCGCGUGAGUGAUGAAGGCUUUCGGGUCGUAAAACUCUGUUGUUAGGGAAGAACAAGUGCUAGUUGAAUAAGCUGGCACCUUGACGGUACCUAACCAGAAAGCCACGGCUAACUACGUGCCAGCCGCCGCAGUAA
rnacentral:rRNA from 1 species